CGGCGACGCACAGUCUGGUCAAUUGGUGAAAAACCCUGCCCCUUUUCCUUUUCCACAACGGCUGCGACUUCCACGACGGCGGCAACUUCUCCUAGAUAGAUCUUUGGGAUAAAGUUUCACUUAAGAAGCUGUUUGCUUCUAAAAAGUAUCUUGCCUGAUGAUGAUUGUAGACUAUAUGAACCCUCAUUGAUUAGGAUUCCUUGAGCUAAAUUUCAAAUUUAUCCCAAUUCAAAAUCAGGGGUGUCUUGAAAAUAGCUUAUGUGAAGAACAAACUCAGCAUCUCAAUAAGAUGAAAUCGCAUAUGGAUAUGGCUCUUACAUUAGUACAUCCAUCAAUGAUGGCCCUGGAUGCUUGAUGCUGAGGUAUCCUGAUCCUUCCUAUGGUGCUUCUGUUGGCCAAGAUAUGAUUGAUAAACUCUCAUCUAAUGAAGAUUAAGUGGCGUCUUGCUCCUGGUUGUAAUUCUGUUGUGGAAUACGUUGUUGGUAGUGGCAGCUAUGUUGUCUCUUGCAAUUGUUCAUAUAGUUUCUGCUGGAACUAGAGUUGGGAUUUAGAUGUAUUUAAUUUUAUUUUUAUGAGAAUUCGUAGCUAAGUAUUAUGAUCUGGUGAAUCAUGAGGCACAUAAGAAGCGCAUCUAGGACUGAUGGUCGGCUAGCGCGCUUGGAGGAACAAUUUGAUCAUUUCAAAAAUUAUGCCCUGACGAUCAAUAGCUCGAAAGGAUGAACGCCCGACCAGACCGCCGCGACCUCAAUGGCAAAUCUGGUGCGCCACAUGUUUUUUUUUUUUUUUUGUACUAAGUAUUUGAACUUUAAUAAUUUAUGUAUUCUACUAUUUUAAAA